UCAAGUUAUUUUCUAGUAGUUCCUCUGUCCACUUGCUCUCAAUAUAUACGUAUUCUUAUUGAAAGUUAAUAAAUUGAAACAAAAAAAGAAUCAAAAAAUGUAGGAAUCAUCCUCUCAUUUCAAGUUCUAAAUAUUAGUCCAGAUGUUGGUCUUUCGUGAGAUAUUUCCCCCCGCCCGACAACUGCCGUGCACAAUUUUUUCAGUUAAAAAAAAUAAUAAAUAUUUCGCGUAUCGAUAAGAGAGGGUAUUGGCGAUAAUGAGGCGUAUCAUGACCUCUUUGAGGCUGACGCAAAGAUUUAAUGUUGGAAUACAAUUAAUGACAGUGAAAGUGGAAUUAUUUCAACGUAUAACCAGGUUAUAGACUAGGGGAUUUUUAGUUGAGAACGGGAUGAAAAUACAUUAAAUAAUGAAAUUAGAGGACUGAAUGCCAUAUGACUUGUAAUUUGAUUGCACGACUGGGCACAAAGCAUACUUACAGCAAGGACAAACUCUACCAACGUGAUCACGAUACUGUGCGUCGUUCCAAGGUCUGAAACACUCAAAAUCUUUUCGUUUUUUGCUAUUGAACUGUGAGAUAAAUGAAUUAUUUUCAAUGAUUUUUCCUAAAUUGCUGUCGACAUUAAUUUCGAUUGAUUCCAUUUUAAAAAGGCACAUUUUUUUUUACACGAGCGAUAACGAUAAGUCUUAGGCGGCCAUUUUCAACUCAGUGAAUGUGGUGUGCGCAAAUGUUGGUCGGGUUUCGUUGUGUGACUGUGUAAAGUGGCGCUCGACGAGCAUUUGGUGUAAGUAAACGGCGCCAUUUCAAAUCUAUUGGAAUUCUCUUGAAGACAUUGGUUUAAGGGUUGAAUAGUUCCAGAAUAGAGAGCAGUGGAAUUGUUUGAUAAAUGUUUAAUUUAGUUUAGAUGAAUUAAAGGAAUUUUUUUUUUUCACUGGAAGAGGCUUCUUUUGGUGUGAUAUGAAAUGAUUGACCUGAAGUGAUAGAAUAAUCAAAUGGUCACUCAAUUUGUAAAUUUGAUGUUUUUUUUUUUAGUUUUUAUUGAAAAUAAUUCUUCUAAAAGUGUAAUGAUAACAAACCGAUGGAGUUCUGAGUUAAAUUCUGUAGUGUUUUGCAUGUUCCUGUUAUUUUUCUCAUCGGAAUAAAAUAUAUGAAAUAUACAGGUACUAUCUGGUAGCGAGGGCAAUUCAUUCAUAAGUAUUGUAACCCAAUGCCGAAUUGAUACUCCUGGAAUACGUCAAGUCGGGUGAUUGAUAAUGGGUAGACUAGGUUCAAUUCGAUUCGAGCGAUUCCUCCUAUUCUCAUAGCUAUUCCUGCACCUGUUGACCAUCGCACGUUGUCUGUGAAGAGUCUUAUGUUUUGCGAGUAAUCGUCAUCUAGGAAUAAUUAAAUUAUUAUAUAAAAUUUUGAUAUUAAUAGAUGAAUUCCUUUUAGAAUUUUUACCUUUUUGAAGUUUAAUAUUUCCCAAAUUGCCACCAUUAAUGAAGCCGUGUAAUCUAAACAACUCGCCAAAACUAUUCUUUCCCGGUCUAAAUGGCAGUGGCGUGUAGAGAUGUAAAGCAAGGGCCCAGAAUGUGUUGCCACCUAUGGCAUUUCUCUCAUUCCGGGGGCCACAGCCUCUCAUAGCAAAUCCUCGAACAUUCAUAGGACCUCCGAGGAAAAAAUGAUCGGCUAUGUUAAUCUGCAUGUCGUUGCUGAUUCCACGAAGGAAUCCAGCUUGUGCACCCAGCUGAAAGCU